UACAGAGGUCUCAAGCGUUGUUCGGAUUCAUUGGGCGUAAAGGGCGCGUAGGCGGUCAGCACAAGUCAGUUGUGAAAUCUCCGGGCUUAACUCGGAAAGGUCAACUGAUACUGUGCGACUAGAGUGCGGAAGGGGCAACUGGAAUUCUCGGUGUAGCGGUGAAAUGCGUAGAUAUCGAGAGGAACACCUGCGGCGAAGGCGGGUUGCUGGGCCGACACGUGACGCUGAUGCGCGAAAGCCAGGGGAGCCGAACGGG
rnacentral:rRNA from 1 species